rnacentral:rRNA from 1 species
AUGAAAUUAAAAUUAUUAAAUAUAAUUUUAUCAAUAAUAAAUAAACUUAAUAAUAAUAAUAAUAUUAUUAUUAAUAAUCUAUUAGAUUCAUUAAUAAAUAAGAAAUUAUUAUUAAAGAAUAUAUUAUUAGAUAUAAAUAAUAAAAAAAUAAAUAAUAUAAAAAGAAUAUUAAAUAAUAAUAAUAUAAAUAUUAAUAAUAAAUUACAACAUUUAAAUAAUAUAAAUAAUUGAAAUCUACAAAUUUAUAAUUAUAAUAAAAAUAUAGAAAUUAUAAAUACUAUAAAUGAUAAAUUAAUUAAUAAAUUAUUAUAUAAAAUAAUAACUUUAAAAUUAAAUAAUAUAAAUAUUAAUAAAAUUAUUAUAAGUAAACUUAUUAAUCAACAUAGUUUAAAUAAAUUAAAUAUUAAAUUUUAUUAUUAUAAUAAUGAUAUUAAUAAUAAUAAUAAUAAUAAUAAUAAUAAUUAUUAUAUAAAUAUAAUAAAUAAAUUAAUAAAUAUUAUAAAUAAUAAUAUAAAUAAUAAUUUAUGUAAUAUUUUAAGUUAUUAUUAUAAUAAAAAAGUAACUAUUGAACCUAUUAAAUUAUCAUAUAUUUAUUUAAAUAGUGAUAUUUUUAGUAAAUAUAUUAGUUUAAAUGAUAUAGAUAAAUAUAAUAAUGGUAUCUUAACUAAUUAUCAACGUAUAUUAAAUAAUAUUAUGCCUAAAUUAAAUGAUCAUAAUAUUUCUAUAAAUUAUAUUAAUAAUAUUAAUAAUAUUAAUAAUAAUAAAUAUAAUAAUAUAAUUAAUUUAUUAAAUAAUAAUAAUAAUAUUAAUAAUUAUAAUAAUUAUAAUAAUUAUAAUAAUAAUAAUAAUAAUAAUAAUAAUUAUAUUGGUAAUAUUAAUAAUAUUUAUAAUAAUAUAACUAUUGAUAAUAUUCCUAUAGAUAUUUUAAUAUAUAAAUAUUUAGUUGGUUGAUCUAUUAAAUUUAAAGGUAGAUUAAGUAAUAAUAAUGGUAGAACUAGUACACUUAAUUUAUUAAAUGGUACUUUUAAUAAUAAAAAAUAUUUAUGAAGUAAUAUUAAUAAUAAUUAUAAAUUAAAUUAUAUCCCUUCUAAUCAUAAUUUAUAUAAUAAUUCUAAUAUUAAUAAAAAUGGUAAAUAUAAUAUUAAAGUUAAAUUAAACUUUAUUUAA